UACGUAGGGUGCAAGCGUUAAUCGGAAUUACUGGGCGUAAAGCGUGCGCAGGCGGUUGUGCAAGACCGAUGUGAAAUCCCCGGGCUUAACCUGGGAACUGCAUUUGUGACUGCAUGGCUGGAGUGCGGCAGAGGGGGAUGGAAUUCCGCGUGUAGCAGUGAAAUGCGUAGAUAUGCGGAGGAACACCGAUGGCGAAGGCAAUCCCCUGGGCCUGCACUGACGCUCAUGCACGAAAGCGUGGGGAGCAAACAGG
rnacentral:rRNA from 1 species